rnacentral:rRNA from 1 species
AGCAGUCGCCGCGGUAACACGUAGGGUGCAAGCGUUAAUCGGAAUUACUGGGCGUAAAGCGUGCGCAGGCGGUUAUAUAAGACAGAUGUGAAAUCCCCGGGCUCAACCUGGGAACUGCAUUUGUGACUGUAUAGCUAGAGUACGGCAGAGGGGGAUGGAAUUCCGCGUGUAGCAGUGAAAUGCGUAGAUAUGCGGAGGAACACCGAUGGCGAAGGCAAUCCCCUGGGCCUGUACUGACGCUCAUGCACGAAAGCGUGGGGAGCAAACAGGAUUAGAUACCCCAGUAGUCCCUGUCUCUUAUAC